rnacentral:rRNA from 1 species
UAACGUGGACUGCCAGUGUUGAUGUGAUGCACUCUCUCAGAGUCGAGUAGUUUGGGAAUGCUGCUCUAAUGGGAGGUAAACUCCUUCUAAAGCUAAAUAUUGGCGAGAGACCGAUAGCGAACAAGUACCGUGAGGGAAAGAUGAAAAGAACUCUGAAAAGAGAGUCAAACAGAACGUGAAAUUGCUGAAAGGGAAGCAUUUGGAGUCAGAUGCAUCCUCAUGUUUUUACCACUUGUUGGUGACUUGGGGAUGGGCCAGGACUCACGUAGACCAUUGGAGAAGGGGUCAUGGAAUGUAGCUCGUCUUGAGUGAUUAUAGCCUUGAUUCGUAUGCAAUGGUGUUUGUGUGAGGGCAAAGCAAAGCAGCGCCUGGCAUAAUGGCUCCAAGUGACCCGUCUUGAAACACGGACCAAGGAGUCUAACAUGUAUGCAAGUAUUAGAGUGAUUGAAACUCUGAAUGCGAAAUGAAAGUGGUCUUUGACUGAGAAUCCGUUGGGAGGCAUCAGUACCCCGAGUCUAUUUGUCUUUGACAAGAGAUUUGGAGGUAGAGCAUACAUGUUGGGACCCGAAAGAUGGUGAACUAUGCCUGAAUAGGGUGAAGUCAGAGGAAACUCUGAUGGAGGCCCGUAGCGAUUCAGACGUGCUAAAUCGAUCGUCAGAAUUUGGGUAUAGGGGCGAAAGACUAAUCGAACCAUCUAGUAAAAGGUUCCUGCCGCAGUUUCCAUCAGGAUAGCAGAGACUGGAACCAUUCAGUAGCAUGGGGUAAAGCGAAUGAUUAGGGAUAUUGGGGGUGGAAUACCCUCAAUCCAUUCUCAAACUUUGAAUUUGUGCGGAGCAGGAUUCCCUUACUUAAAAAAAUGAAGGGCCUGUAGAAUGUGUCAGUCUCUAGUGGGCCACGUUUUGGUAAGCAGAACGGGGGAUGCGGGAUGAACCGAAAGUGAGGUUAAAGUACCAGAAUACGCGCUCAUCAGAUACCAUGAAAGGGGCGAGUUCAUUUAGACAGCAGGUUGGUGCCCAUUGAAGUUGGAAUCCGCUAAGGAGUGUGUAACAACUCACCUGCCAAAGGGCCUUGCCCUGAAAAUGGAUGGCGCUCAAGCGCGUUAAUAGUACCUCACCGUUGUUGAGGGUUAAGCAAAGAGUAGGCAGGCGUACUAGGUCCAUACGUAGAGGC